rnacentral:rRNA from 1 species
GUAGGUGGCAAGCGUUGUCCGGAAUUAUUGGGCGUAAAGCGCGCGCAGGCGGUUCUUUAAGUCUGAUGUGAAAGCCCACGGCUCAACCGUGGAGGGUCAUUGGAAACUGGAGAACUUGAGUACAGAAGAGGAAAGCGGAAUUCCACGUGUAGCGGUGAAAUGCGUAGAGAUGUGGAGGAACACCAGUGGCGAAGGCGGCUUUCUGGUCUGUAACUGACGCUGAGGCGCGAAAGCGUGGGGAGCAAACAGGGAUUAGAUACCCUGGUAGUCCACGCCGUAAACGAUGAGUGCUAAGUGUAGGGGGUUUCCGCCCCCUUAGUGCUGCAGCUAACGCAUUAAGCACUCCGCCUGGGGAUACGGCCGCAAGGCUG